UACAGAGGUCUCAAGCGUUGUUCGGAUUCAUUGGGCGUAAAGGGUGCGUAGGUGGUGGGGUAAGUCGGAUGUGAAAUCCCGGGGCUCAACCCCGGAACUGCAUUCGAUACUGCCUUGCUCGAGUACUGGAGAGGGGACUGGAAUUUACGGUGUAGCAGUGAAAUGCGUAGAUAUCGUAAGGAAGACCAGUGGCGAAGGCGAGUCUCUGGACAGUUACUGACACUGAGGCACGAAGGCCAGGGGAGCAAACGGG
rnacentral:rRNA from 1 species